UACAGAGGUCUCAAGCGUUGUUCGGAUUUACUGGGCGUAAAGGGCGCGUAGGCGGCGCAACAAGUCACUUGUGAAAUCUCCGGGCUUAACCCGGAGCGGUCAAGUGAUACUGUCGUGCUAGAGUGCGGAAGGGGCUACUGGAAUUCUCGGUGUAGCGGUGAAAUGCGUAGAUAUCGAGAGGAACACCUGCGGCGAAGGCGGGUAGCUGGGCCGACACUGACGCUGAUGCGCGAAAGCCAGGGGAGCGAACGGG
rnacentral:rRNA from 1 species